rnacentral:rRNA from 1 species
UACGGAGGGGACUAGCGUUGUUCGGAAUUACUGGGCGUAAAGCGCACGUAGGCGGAUUUGUAAGUCAGGGGUGAAAUCCCGGGGCUCAACCUCGGAACUGCCUUUGAUACUGCAAAUCUCGAGUCCGGAAGAGGUGAGUGGAAUUCCUAGUGUAGAGGUGAAAUUCGUAGAUAUUAGGAAGAACACCAGUGGCGAAGGCGGCAUCCUGGACCGGUAUUGACACUCAGGUGCGACAGCGUGGGGAGCAAACAGG